UAGGGAAUCUUCGGCAAUGGGGGGAACCCUGACCGAGCAACGCCGCGUGAGUGAAGAAGGUUUUCGGAUCGUAAAGCUCUGUUGUUAAGGAAGAACGAGUGUGAGAAUGGAAAGUUCAUACUGUGACGGUACUUAACCAGAAAGGGACGGCUAACUACGUGCCAGCAGCCGCGGUAAUACGUAGGUCCCGAGCGUUGUCCGGAUUUAUUGGGCGUAAAGCGAGCGCAGGCGGUUAGAUAAGUCUGAAGUUAAAGGCAGUGGCUCAACCAUUGUAGGCUUUGGAAAAUGGUUAACUUGAGUGCAGAAGGGGAGAGUGGAAAUCCAUGUGUAGCGGUGAAAUGCGUAGAUAUAUGGAGGAACACCGGUGGCGAAAGCGGCUCUCUGGUCUGUAACUGGCGCUGAGGCUCGAAAGCGUGGGGAGCGAACAGG
rnacentral:rRNA from 1 species